UGGGAAGUAUUGCACAAUGGGCGCAAGCCUGAUGCAGCCAUGCCGCGUGUGUGAAGAAGGCCUUCGGGUUGUAAAGCACUUUCAGCGAGGAGGAAGGUGGUGAACUUAAUACGUUCAUCAAUUGACGUUACUCGCAGAAGAAGCACCGGCUAACUCCGUGCCAGCAGCCGCGGUAAUACGGAGGGUGCAAGCGUUAAUCGGAAUUACUGGGCGUAAAGCGCACGCAGGCGGUCUGUCAAGUCGGAUGUGAAAUCCCCGGGCUCAACCUGGGAACUGCAUUCGAAACUGGCAGGCUAGAGUCUUGUAGA
rnacentral:rRNA from 1 species